rnacentral:rRNA from 1 species
AUGGCGCUCUCCGUGGAGAAGACCUCGUCGGGCCGGGAGUACAAGGUCAAGGACCUCUCCCAGGCCGACUUCGGCCGCCUCGAGCUCGAGCUCGCCGAGGUCGAGAUGCCCGGCCUCAUGGCCUGCCGCACCGAGUUCGGCCCCUCGCAGCCCUUCAAGGGCGCCCGGAUCUCCGGCUCCCUCCACAUGACCAUCCAGACCGCCGUCCUCAUCGAGACCCUCACCGCCCUCGGCGCCGAGGUCCGCUGGUGCUCCUGCAACAUCUUCUCCACCCAGGACCACGCCGCCGCCGCCAUCGCCCGCGACUCCGCGGCCGUCUUCGCCUGGAAGGGCGAGACCCUCGAGGAGUACUGGUGGUGCACCGAGCGCUGCCUCGACUGGGGCGUCGGCGGCGGCCCCGACCUCAUCGUCGACGACGGCGGUGACGCCACGCUGCUCAUCCACGAGGGCGUCAAGGCCGAGGAGGAGUUCGAGAAAUCCGGCAAGGUUCCCGACCCGGAGUCCACCGACAACCCCGAGUUCAAGAUCGUCCUCACCAUCAUCCGCGACGGGCUCAAGACCGACGCCAGCAAGUACCGCAAGAUGAAGGAGAGGCUCGUCGGUGUCUCCGAGGAGACCACCACCGGCGUCAAGAGGCUCUACCAGAUGCAGGAGUCCGGCACCCUCCUCUUCCCCGCCAUCAACGUCAACGACUCCGUCACCAAGAGCAAGUUUGACAACCUUUACGGUUGCCGUCACUCGCUCCCUGAUGGUCUUAUGAGGGCCACUGAUGUUAUGAUCGCCGGCAAGGUCGCCGUGGUCUGCGGUUACGGUGAUGUUGGCAAGGGCUGUGCCGCCGCACUCAAGCAGGCUGGUGCCCGUGUGAUCGUGACAGAGAUUGACCCCAUCUGUGCCCUUCAGGCCCUGAUGGAGGGUAUCCAGAUCCUCACCUUGGAGGAUGUUGUCUCUGAGGCUGACAUCUUUGUGACCACCACCGGAAACAAGGACAUCAUCAUGGUCGACCACAUGAGGAAGAUGAAGAACAACGCCAUUGUCUGCAACAUUGGUCACUUUGACAAUGAGAUCGACAUGAACGGCCUUGAGACCUACCCUGGUGUCAAGCGCAUCACCAUCAAGCCCCAGACUGACCGUUGGGUCUUCCCCGAGACCAAGACUGGCAUCAUUGUUCUUGCUGAGGGUCGUCUGAUGAACCUUGGAUGUGCCACUGGCCACCCCAGCUUUGUCAUGUCCUGCUCAUUCACCAACCAGGUUAUUGCUCAGCUUGAGUUGUGGAACGAGAAGGCCAGUGGCAAGUAUGAGAAGAAGGUGUACGUUCUCCCCAAGCACCUGGACGAGAAGGUCGCGGCCCUCCACUUGGGCAAGCUCGGCGCCAGGCUGACCAAGCUCACCAAGUCCCAGUCUGACUACAUUAGCAUCCCAAUUGAGGGUCCUUACAAGCCUGCGGCUUACCGGUACUAG